rnacentral:rRNA from 1 species
GAUGAACGCUGGCGGCGUGCUUAACACAUGCAAGUCGAACGGAAAGGCCCUGCUUGCAGGGUACUCGAGUGGCGAACGGGUGAGUAACACGUGGGUGAUCUACCCUGUACUUUGGGAUAAGCCUGGGAAACUGGGUCUAAUACCGAAUAUGACAAUUGUUUGGAUGCGAUUGUGGAAAGCUUUUGCGGUAUGGGAUGAGCUCGCGGCCUAUCAGCUUGUUGGUGGGGUAAUGGCCUACCAAGGCGUCGACGGGUAGCCGGCCUGAGAGGGUGUACGGCCACAUUGGGACUGAGAUACGGCCCAGACUCCUACGGGAGGCAGCAGUGGGGAAUAUUGCACAAUGGGCGCAAGCCUGAUGCAGCGACGCCGCGUGGGGGAUGACGGCCUUCGGGUUGUAAACUCCUUUCGCAACCGACGAAGCCUUUUGGUGACGGUAGGUUGAGAAGAAGCACCGGCUAACUACGUG